AUCCUUGCGCUUGGGGCAAUGACGUAGCUAAUGAGGUCUGAACCGAGGCGCGUCUAUUGCUGGUUGAAAACUAUUUCCAAACCCCAUCCUAGGCCUAAGCGUGUCUUGGGCCUUCGAGAAUUUCUGGAAGAGUUCCCUUAGGGGUAAAGCU
rnacentral:snRNA from 2 species